AAAGGAAUUGACGGGGGCCCGCACAAGCGGUGGAUUAUGUGGUUUAAUUCGAAGGUACACGCAGAACCUUACCUAGGUUUGAAAUCCUUCUAAGUCGGGGUAAUGCCUGAUGUGCCCGCAAGGGAAAGAAGUGACAGGUGCUGCAUGGCUGUCGUCAGCUCGUGUUGUGAAAUGUUGGGUUAAGUCUCGCAACGAGCGCAACCCCUAUUUUUAGUUACCAUCAUUAAGUUGGGGACUCUAGAAAUACUGCCUGGGUUAACCAGGAGGAAGGUGGGGAUGACGUCAAGUCCUCAUGGCCCUUAUGUCUAGGGCUACACACGUAAUACAAUGGUUGAGUAUAAAGAGAUGCAAAACAGCGAUGUAGAGCAAACCUCAAAAAAUCAAUCUCAGUCCGGAUUGGAGUCUGCAAUUCGACUCCAUGAAGUUGGAAUCGCUAGUAAUCGCGAAUUAGAGGGUCGCGGUGAAUACGUUCUCGGGCCUUGUACACACCGCCCGU
rnacentral:rRNA from 1 species